CCUACGGGUGGCAGCAGUGAGGAAUAUUGGUCAAUGGGCGCGAGCCUGAACCAGCCAAGUCGCGUGAGGGAAGACGGUCCUAUGGAUGGUAAACCUCUUUUGUCGGGGAGCAAAAGACGCUACGCGUGGCGUUCCGAGAGUACCCGAAGAAAAAGCAUCGGCUAACUCCGUGCCAGCAGCCGCGGUAAUACGGAGGAUGCGAGCGUUAUCCGGAUUUAUUGGGUUUAAAGGGUGGGAAGGGGGAAGAUCAAGUCAGCGGGAAAAUUGAGAGGCUCAACCUCGUCGAGCCGUUGAAACUGGCUGUCGUGAGUGAGGGAGAGGUAUGCGGAAUGCGUGGUGUAGCGGUGAAAUGCAUAGAUAUCACGCAGAACGCCGAUGGCGAAGGCAGCAUACUGGAGCUCAACUGACGCUGAUGCACGAAAGUGUGGGUAGCGAACAGGAUUAGAUACCCCAGUAGUC
rnacentral:rRNA from 1 species